UGUAUGGGGCGAGCGUUGUCCGGAAUUAUUGGGCGUAAAGGGUACGUAGGCGGUUUUUUAAGUCAGGUGUGAAAGCGUGAGGCUUAACCUCAUUAAGCACUUGAAACUGGAAGACUUGAGUGAAGGAGAGGAAAGUGGAAUUCCUAGUGUAGCGGUGAAAUGCGUAGAUAUUAGGAGGAAUACCGGUGGCGAAGGCGACUUUCUGGACUUUUACUGACGCUCAGGUACGAAGCGUGGGGAGCAAACAGGAUU
rnacentral:rRNA from 1 species